rnacentral:rRNA from 1 species
CAGUCGCCGCGGGAAUACGGAGGGGGCUAGCGUUGUUCGGAAUUACUGGGCGUAAAGCGUGCGCAGGCGGUUAUAUAAGACAGAUGUGAAAUCCCCGGGCUCAACCUGGGAACUGCAUUUGUGACUGUAUAGCUAGAGUACGGCAGAGGGGGAUGGAAUUCCGCGUGUAGCAGUGAAAUGCGUAGAUAUGCGGAGGAACACCGAUGGCGAAGGCAAUCCCCUGGGCCUGUACUGUCGCUCAUGCACGAAAGCGUGGGGAGCAAACAGGAUUAGAUACCCGCGUAGUCCCUGUCUCUUAUAC